rnacentral:lncRNA from 1 species
AUUUUAAAUGCUAUCCGACUGGACUCUUAUUAGUUCACAGAGUACCAGACUCCUGGAAGUCAGGACCACUGACUUUUCCCAAUGGUUCUCUGCAUCUGCUGAGAUGAGCCCAUGACUGCUGAAGCAGUUCUCAUGACAGACGAUCUGAUGGGUCUCCCGACCCAGGAGUUUUGACAGCUCAGUCUCUGCCAGCGUGCACCUUCCUGUUCCUCAUAGGCCUGUCAGAGCGUGUGGGAGUGUUCCC